rnacentral:rRNA from 1 species
GAGCUCGUAGCGGCUUGUCCGUCGGGUGUGAAAGCCCGGGGCUUAACCCCGGGUCUGCAUUCGAUACGGGCUAGCUAGAGUGUGGUAGGGGAGAUCGGAAUUCCUGGUGUAGCGGUGAAAUGCGCAGAUAUCAGGAGGAACACCGGUGGCGAAGGCGGAUCUCUGGGCCAUUACUGACGCUGAGGAGCGAAAGCGUGGGGAGCGAACAGGAUUAGAUACCCUGGUAGUCCACGCCGUAAACGGUGGGAACUAGGUGUUGGCGACAUUCCACGUCGUCGGUGCCGCAGCUAACGCAUUAAGUUCCCCGCCUGGGGAGUACGGCCGCAAGGCUAAAACUCAAAGGAAUUGACGGGGGCCCGCACAAGCAGCGGAGCAUGUGGCUUAAUUCGACGCAACGCGAAGAACCUUACCAAGGCUUGACAUACGCCGGAAAGCAUCAGAGAUGGUGCCCCCCUUGUGGUCGGUGUACAGGUGGUGCAUGGCUGU